rnacentral:rRNA from 1 species
GACGAACGCUGGCGGCGUGCCUAAUACAUGCAAGUCGAACGCUUCUUUCCUCCCGAGUGCUUGCACUCAAUUGGAAAGAGGAGUGGCGGACGGGUGAGUAACACGUGGGUAACCUACCCAUCAGAGGGGGAUAACACUUGGAAACAGGUGCUAAUACCGCAUAACAGUUUAUGCCGCAUGGCAUAAGAGUGAAAGGCGCUUUCGGGUGUCGCUGAUGGAUGGACCCGCGGUGCAUUAGCUAGUUGGUGAGGUAACGGCUCACCAAGGCCACGAUGCAUAGCCGACCUGAGAGGGUGAUCGGCCACACUGGGAGUGAGAAACGGCCCAGACUCCUACGGGAGGCAGCAGUAGAGAAUCUUCGGCGAUGGACGAAAGUCUGACCGAGCAACGCCGCGUGAGUGAAGAAGGUGUUCGGAUCGUAAAACUCUGUUGUUAGAGAAGAACAAGGACGUUAGUAACUGAACGUCUCCUGACGGUAUCUAACCAGAAAGCCACGGCUAACUACGUG